rnacentral:rRNA from 1 species
AACGAACGCUGGCGGCAGGCCUAACACAUGCAAGUCGAGCGCGCCCUUCGGGGUGAGCGGCGGACGGGUGAGUAACGCGUGGGAACGUGCCCUUUUCUACGGAAUAGCCUCGGGAAACUGAGAGUAAUAUCGUAUACGCCCUUUGGGGGAAAGAUUUAUCGGAAAAGGAUCGGCCCGCGUUGGAUUAGGUAGUUGGUGGGGUAAUGGCCUACCAAGGCGACGAUCCAUAGCUGGUCUGAGAGGAUGAUCAGCCACACUGGGACUGAGACACGGCCCAGACUCCUACGGGAGGCAGCAGUGGGGAAUCUUAGACAAUGGGGGCAACCCUGAUCUAGCCAUGCCGCGUGAGUGAUGAAGGCCUUAGGGUUGUAAAGCUCUUUCAGCUGGGAAGAUAAUGACGGUACCAGAAGAAGAAGCCCCGGCUAACUCCGUG